rnacentral:rRNA from 1 species
GACGAACGCUGGCGGCGUGCUUAACACAUGCAAGUCGAACGGAAAGGCCUGCUUUCCCUUGUGGAUUGCGGGUACUCGAGUGGCGAACGGGUGAGUAACACGUGAGUGAUCUGCCCCCAACUUGGGUAUAAGCCUGGGAAACUGGGUCUAAUUCCCGAUAGGACUGCAGGGUGGUGCCUGUGGUGGAAAACGAUUUUCUAGUGGUUGGGGAUGAGCUCGCGGCCUAUCAGCUUGUUGGUGGGGUAAUGGCCUACCGAGGCGGCGACGGGUAGCCGGCCUGAGAGGGUGGACGGCCACAUUGGGACUGGGAUACGGCCCAGACUCCUACGGGAGGCAGCAGUGGGGAAUAUUGCACAAUGGGCGGAAGCCUGAUGCAGCGACGCCGCGUGGGGGAUGACGGCCUUCGGGUUGUAAACUCCUUUCGACCGCGAGGAAGCCACCUGGUUGGAAGGGUGGUGACGGUAGUGGUAGAAGAAGCACCGGCUAACUACGUG